rnacentral:rRNA from 1 species
AACGAACGCUGGCGGCGUGGAUUAGGCAUGCAAGUCGAACGGUAUCAUCCGUUUCGGGGGUGAGAGAGUGGCGAACUGGUGAGUAACACGUAGGUUAUCUACCCUCAAGACGGGGACAACACAGGGAAACUUGUGCUAAUACCCGAUGGUCUACCGGUGCACAUGUACCGGAUAGUAAAUGGUCAGCCGCUCGGAGAUGGGCCCGCGGCCCAUUAGCUAGUUGGUGAGGUAACGGCUCACCAAGGCGACGAUGGGUAGCCGGUCUGAGAGGAUGGUCGGCCACACUGGGACUGAGACAUGGUCCAGACUCCUACGGGAGUUAGCAUCAGGGAAUCUUGCUCAAUGAGCGCAAGCUUGAAGCAGCGACGCCGCGUGUGGGAUGAAGGCCUUCGGGUCGUAAACCACUGUCAGGAGGGACGAAGAUCUGACGGUACCUCCAGAGGAAGCCCCGGCUAACUACGUG